rnacentral:rRNA from 1 species
CACGUAGGGGGCGAGCGUUGUCCGGAUUUAUUGGGCGUAAAGAGCUCGUAGGCGGCUCGGUAAGUCGGGUGUGAAAACUCUAGGCUCAACCUAGAGACGCCACCCGAUACUGCUGUGGCUAGAGUCCGGUAGGGGAGCAUGGAAUUCCUGGUGUAGCGGUGAAAUGCGCAGAUAUCAGGAGGAACACCGGUGGCGAAGGCGGAUCUCUGGGCCGAUAACUGAC